rnacentral:tRNA from 1 species
GGAGAGAUGGCAGAGUGGUCGAUUGCGGCAGUCUUGAAAACUGUUGAGCUGCAAGGCUCCGGGGGUUCGAAUCCCUCUCUCUCCG